CUCGCCAACGCCGACAACAGGGUGCCGCCAAGUGAAUCGUGAGGCUGACGCGGGCUCACGGGUUUAGUGAGUCGGGUAGUUGGACAUGUUGCGCACGUGCGAGUUUCUCACGUGACGCAGACGACCCAUUUGAGCGGCGAAUCAUACGUCAACGUCGCCGCCGUAUUGGAUGUGGCAAGAGUGAACGGGGGACGAUACCUGCAUUUCAAGGGAUUACCUUUCACAGAAUUCCUAGAGAGGAAUGCAGUUCCUCGGUUCCAGCAGCUUCAACCAAAACCUUCUCAAGUCAACUGCUGCGGCUGCUGCGAGGGCUGAGCUACCAGAGUGGGCUGGUGAGGGAACGGCUGCCCCACCAGGCUGUAUGCGGCUGGAUAGGUGGCUGCGUAGAGGAGGAACACG